rnacentral:rRNA from 1 species
AUUGAACGCUGGCGGCAGGCCUAACACAUGCAAGUCGAGCGAGCGGCGGACGGGUGAGUAAUGUAUGGGGACUGCCCGAUAGAGGGGGAUAACUACUGGAAACGGUGGCUAAUACCGCAUACUAUCGGAUAACCCAUAUGGGAUUAGCUAGUAGGUGGGGUAAAGGCUCACCUAGGCGACGAUCUCUAGCUGGUCUGAGAGGAUGAUUAGCCCCACCGGGACUUGGAACCGGCCCCGACCCCUACGGGGGGCGCCGUUGGGAAUAUUGGCCCAUGGGGCGAAGCCUGAUUCAGGCCUUCCCGGUGUAUUAAUAAGGCCUUUGGGGUGUUAAGUACUUUUCGCGGGGAGGCGUUACCCGCAGAAGAAGCACCGGCUAACUCCGUGCCAGCAGCCGCGGUAAUAC